rnacentral:tRNA from 1 species
GCGAGCGUGGCGGAAUUGGCAUACGCGCAUGACUAAGGAUCAUGUCCCGAAAGGGUUGAAGGUUCAAGUCCUUUCGCUCGCA